rnacentral:rRNA from 1 species
CCGCGGUAAUACCAGCACCCCGAGUGGUCGGGACGAUUAUUGGGCCUAAAGCAUCCGUAGCCGGUUCUACAAGUCUUCCGUUAAAUCCACCUGCUUAACAGUUGGGCUGCAGAGGAUACUAUAGGGCUAGGAGGCGGGAGAGGCAAGCGGUACUUAGUGGGUAGGGGUAAAAUCCGUUGAUCCACUGAAGACCACCAGUGGCGAAGGCGGCUUGCCAGAACGCGCUCGACGGUGAGGGAUGAAAGCUGGGGGAGCAAACCGGAUUAGAUACCCGGGUAGUCCCAGCUGUAAACGAUGCAGACUCGGUGAUGAAUAGGCUUCGUGCCUAUUCAGUGCCGCAGGGAAGCCGUUAAGUCUGCCGCCUGGGGAGUACGGUCGCAAGACUGAAACUUAAAGGAAAUUGGCGGGGGAGCACCACAAGGGGUGAAGCCUGCGGUUCAAUUGGAGUCAACGCCGGGAAUCUUACCGGGGGCGACAGCAGAAUGAAGGUCAAGCUGAAGACUUUACCAGACAAGCUGAGAGGAGGUGCAUGGCCGUCGCCAGCUCGUGCCGUGAGGUGUCCUGUUAAGUCAGGUAACGAGCGAGAUCCCUGCCUCUAGUUGCUACCAUUGCUCUCAGGAGUAAUGGGGCUAAUUAGAGGGACUGCCGUCGCUGAGACGGAGGAAGGAGGGGGCUACGGCAGGUCAGUAUGCCCCGAAACCCUCGGGCCACACGCGGGCUGCAAUGGUAAGGA